UUCUCUGUCUCUAGCUGGUCCUUGCUCUGAUUUGUGUCAGAAGUUCUUUUCCCAAGUUCUUGCUGCACGUUAGACCUGUUGCUUAAGCUGGCAGAGACCUGGAGACAGGGAGUGUAUCUGGCACCAGAAAGGACUGGCGACCCAUCCAAGGUGCCAGCCACGCACUGAAGCUUUUGCUCAAGGUCAACGGGGAAGAUUUCCAGUCAAAGGAAGCUGACAGCCAGAGAGGGCAAUUACUUCACCAGAGUUAUGUCUCAGCAAUGAAAUUACAGCCCUGAUCCAAAGCCUGGGCAUGAGGUUUUCUCUGGACCGAGCACCUCAUCCUAUACUUGGUCCCGAGACUUUAGUCUGCACCUCCUCGAAUCCAAAUCCAUGUGAAAUGGGACUGCUGCUGCUUUCGGCCCUGCUGUCAUAGCAGAGAACUCAUGAUGAGAACGGAUGUUGCUUCCCAAACUUGCCUGUCAUUCUGCUACGUUCACAUUUUCCAUGGCUGAGGAGAAGUCAUUUGACUGCUUAGAGAUAAACAAGCCUCGGCUUAUUCCUGUCCAUCUAGAAGAUGCUGUUCCAACAUCUCCCAACACAUUUCUUACUGGAAAAAAAAAAUCUGGACAGAAAGAUGGCAGGAUUUCACCUGUGUUUUCUAUGUAUUGCAAUAUCAUGUGUAAUAUCCUAUGUGUGUGAAUCUGGUGCUGACCUAAGGCACGAUGCCUGCGUGCUCCCACCUUUUCCCAUGGAACUGGACUGGUAGUGGGUUCGGCAGACAGCUCCUGGUGCAAGCUCUGUGGUGGACCACCGAGUACCAGGGGAGCACAGUCCAAAAAGGAUGCCAGUGUUAUGGUACACCCCAGUUUGACCUUCUACC